GCAGCUGUGGUGUAGUGGUAACACGCCUCCUUCCCAAGGAGGAGACCGAGGGUUCGAUCCCCUUCAGCUGCU
rnacentral:tRNA from 1 species